UGCCGUAUAAUACGGACUUAUGCAGAAUUGACCCACUGCGUAUUACUUAGAACGUAACUUAAGGAGAAAACAAAUG
rnacentral:ncRNA from 1 species